CUGCCUCGUCUUCAAUCCGUCGUCUCUCUCGGUCUCGAAUCCGCCUUCUCUCUUAGUCUCUCUCGAAUAGUUAGGGUUUGCUGUCUCUCGGUCUCGAAUCUACCUUCUCUCUCAGUCUCUCUCGAAGUGCUUAAGAGAGAAUAAAAAUCUUGGGAAGGAUAAAUCACCAUCACACACUGGAGUUCGAAGACUGUCCAAGCACUAAUUUGCACGCAAAAUUGGUUGACUUGUGCACCACUUAGUUCUUGGGAGGUCAAGGAGCAUGUAGAACCCGUUGACAUCGAAGGUAACCCUCUUCCUUCAACUUCAGCAACUUAAGCAUAUGGACUCCCACCCUAUGCAUUGAAAACUCUCCUUAUGCAUUGCUGCAGGGCUGGAAACUUCUCCAACACCACUGUGCUGGACCAUGUAUUUAUGGGCUGGAGAGAUGGACCCUCGUGUUAUUUUCCGCAACAUUGUCCAGAGGCCGCGGCAUAAAGCUAC